rnacentral:rRNA from 1 species
CCCUUAGAUGUUCUGGGCCGCACGCGUGCUACACUGAGUGGAUCAGCGGGUCAGGUUGCGCGAAAGUGUUUCCUAAUCUUGAAAUCCGCUCGUGAUGGGGAUUGACGGUUGCAAUUUUCCGUCAUGAACGAGGAAUACCUUGUAAGCGCGGGUCAUCGUCCCGCGCUGAAUACGUCCCUGCCCUUUGUACACACCGCCCGUCGCUCCUACCGAUUGAGUGGUCCGGUGAGGCUUUGGGAUCUGAGCGGAAAGAGCGUUUCGCUGUUUCUGCUCGGAAAACUCAGUCGAACCUCAUCAUUUAGAGGAAGGAGAAGUCGUAACA